rnacentral:rRNA from 1 species
AGCGUUAUCCGGAUUUAUUGGGCGUAAAGCGAGCGCAGGCGGUUUUUUUAAGUCUGAUGUGAAAGCCCUCGGCUUAACCGAGGAAGUGCAUCGGAAACUGGGAAACUUGAGUGCAGAAGAGGACAGUGGAACUCCAUGUGUAGCGGUGAAAUGCGUAGAUAUAUGGAAGAACACCAGUGGCGAAGGCGGCUGUCUGGUCUGUAACUGACGCUGAGGCUCGAAAGCAUGGGUAGCGAACAGGAUUAGAUACCCUGGUAGUCCAUGCCGUAAACGAUGAAUGCUAGGUGUUGGAGGGUUUCCGCCCUUCAGUGCCGCAGCUAACGCAUUAAGCAUUCCGCCUGGGGAGUACGACCGCAAGGUUGAAACUCAAAGGAAUUGACGGGGGCCCGCACAAGCGGUGGAGCAUGUGGUUUAAUUCGAAGCAACGCGAAGAACCUUACCAGGUCUUGACAUCUUUUGAUCACCUGAGAGAUCAGGUUUCCCCUUCGGGGGCAAAAUGACAGGUGGUGCAUGGUUGUCGUCAGCUCGUGUCGUGAGAUGUUGGGUUAAGUCCCGCAACGAGCGCAACCCUUAUGACUAGUUGCCAGCAUUUAGUUGGGCACUCUAGUAAGACUGCCGGUGACAAACCGGAGGAAGGUGGGGAUGACGUCAAAUCAUCAUGCCCCUUAUGACCUGGGCUACACACGUGCUACAAUGGAUGGUACAACGAGUUGCGAGACCGCGAGGUCAAGCUAAUCUCUUAAAGCCAUUCUCAGUUCGGACUGUAGGCUGCAACUCGCCUACACGAAGUCGGAAUCGCUAGUAAUCGCGGAUCAGCACGCCGCGGUGAAUACGUUCCCGGGCCUUGUACACACCGCCCGUCACACCAUGAGAGUUUGUAACACCCGAAGCCGGUGGCGUAACCCUU